AAGGGCACCACAAGAACGCGUGGAGCAUGUGGCUUAAUUUGACUCAACGCGGGAAAACUUACCGGGUCCGGACACACUGAGGAUUGACAGGCGACUACAAAUAUGCUAGUCCUUUCAUGAUUGUGUGAUAGGUGGUGCAUGGCCGUUCUUAGUUCGUGGAGUGAUCUGUCUGCUUAAUUGCGUUUCAGAUAUAUGGGUUGUUAUCACGUACGCCUUGUUUUUAAACUGCGUCGGCUUCGCGGCUGCGCGGUUUGCAAUGGCCGAGUGGACACCCUUUGAAAGCAACGAACGUGACCGCAACCCUUUGUUAUCUCACAAAUUCAAUGGUGAGACCAACUAAGGGGACCGCCAGGGUUGUUAAACCGGAGGAAGGUUGCGGCAAUAACAGGUCUGUGAUGCCCUUAGAUGUUCCGGGCUGCACACGUGCUACAAUGAUUGUUGCAGAAAGCAUCUCACAUUGAUUUGUCCUUCGGAAGGCAGCGAUGCUGGAAGAGGACCACGCGUUCACGACUUAGGUUGGCUAUUUGCCUUCUUAGUCUAUGGCGCGUGCAACCUACCUCGAAAGUACGGUAGGCAAUCAAUUCCAAGUGACAAUCUCCCGCGCACAAAACCAAAUGAGGUGUGUGGUUCAGCCCUUUGUGGUUCGUCCCACACUUCAUGUGCUCCAUAAAUUCGUGGUCGGGACAGACCAUUGCUAAUUGUUGGUCUCGGUCUCAACUAGGAAUGCCUUGUACGGGUCUUUGGUUCAUCAAACCACCCGGAAUACGUCCCUGCCCUUUGUACACACCGCCCGUCGCUCUUACCGAUGGACUUCUCUGUGAGUUUGAGGGACUGGCCCUUGUCUCUCGGGACAAAGGCUAUGGAAACUUAAACGAACAGUGUGGUCUAAAGGAAAGAGAAGUCG
rnacentral:rRNA from 1 species